rnacentral:tRNA from 1 species
GGCUCUGAAGUGUAUAACAUAUUAGAUUGCAAAUCUGAAGAAGCAGGCUAAUCCCUGCCGGGGCUU